rnacentral:rRNA from 1 species
AGAGUUUGAUCCUGGCUCAGGACGAACGCUGGCGGCGUGCUUAACACAUUCAAGUCGAGCGGAAAGGCCCUUCGGGGUACUCGAGCGGCGAACGGGUGAGUAACACGUGAGCAAUCUGCCCUUAGCUUCGGGAUAGCUCCGGGAAACCGGAAUUAAUACCGGAUGUGACCAUGGCCGGCAUCGGCGGUGGUGGAAAGUUU